CCCAUGGUUAUGGCUUAUAUGAUUUUAUUUGAUUUAACAACCUUGCCCAUUUUAUGAAUUUGUUAUUCCUCAGUUGUCCAACAUUUUGCCCCAUAUGUCAUGACCAGUCUACUACCCAUCAUAUAGAAUUUCUCUUUCAGUUUUAUUAGUAUAAGACAAUUUUACAAAAUUUCAUAGGAACACAUUUACAGUUUACUUGCCAUGCCCUAAAUAUACAAGCAAUAUCUUUCUCAGUCACUUCAUCGUAGUCGGGUUUAUCCGAUGAGUGGCUUAGAAAUGUACUCAAGGCAAUUUCACAAAAUUCCAGAGGCUCACAUCUCGAAUUUAUUCACCAUGCUCUAAAUCUUACAAGCAAUAUCAUUCGCUCUAUCCAUGUCCUUUCAAGACUAUCGCUUGCUCGUUUAAAACUUUUAACUUGUACUAACCAACUCCUAAACUGUAUCUUCAGUUAAGUCAUAUAUGUGUUAAAUCUUUUGUUACAACUUCCACCCAUGUCCCAUUAAGCCUUUUAUUUGCCCUUUUACGACCUUCAAAUUAAACCAACUAACACUAUCAAAGAUUAAAUCUUUUGUUACUACCUAUACCAUUGUCCCUUUAGGCCUUUUAUUUGCACUUUUGCCCUUUUUUUUAACACUUAAAAAUCAUCCUAGUCAACUUUACCUCAUAUUAUUACUCAUUGGUGUUACUUAUGACUUUUGUUGAAUGUAUUUGUUCUUAGUUAUGUCAUUCCUUGUCUUUUUUGACAGAAAUUUCACAAAACUAUCUAGGUAUACAACUUUACUAUAUUCACCUUACUCUAAAUUUAUACGAACCUUUCAUGAUCGCUUAAUUUGGCUACAUUCAACUUGAUGGACUCGACAAAACAUCUAAUAUGGUUUUACGCUGUUCUCCCCCUCUCAAUUGUUCUCUGUGGUGUGGUUCAUUUGAUUUCUUUUUCCAACUUAAAAUAAUUGCGCUUAUGCAGGGAAACUUCCUUUGUGUGACAGAAUCUGAUUUGGAGGAUAUGGGGCCUGCCUGAUUUUGCAGGAUCUCAUUCCCAAAUGGUUACUAUAUAAGAAGUUAUUAUUUUGAAGACUAUGGAGCUAUUCAUUUUUUUAAGGCUAUGGACUCAUUAAUCAGUCAUACCUACCAAUUUGAAUCCCCAUUCAGGAGGGAUUCCCUAUCAUAUGUUUUCAGUGAAUUGACGUUUGCUUGCACUACUCUGUCAUGGUUAUUUCAAUUCAGUGUGAGGACAUUUCGACAGGCAAUACUCUUGUUGUUUGGGGCAGAGUGGAAAACAUAGCCAACCUUCAUGCAGGCUGCCAUUUCCACUUUUGAUGCUACAAAUCACAAAUGAGAUAAGACUUCCUACAAUAGCUAUUGAAAAGGUCCUUGUUGCAAACAACACAUCGUGGUCCAAGAUGAAGUCCUAUCCCAUAGGUUGGGCCUCAUUCCCAUCAAAGCUGACCCAAGGCUGUUUGAAUAUGUUUCAGAAAAUGACUCUGCAAUAUCUUGGUGUGGUUCAAUGAUCCCCAAUUACACCUUUGGUCAACAGGUACUUCUUCAAGGUCUUUCUUCAAGGGAUUUGAUAUGUGGAAGGAAGAAACCAUAAUGAAGUCUUUGCUUUUUGGUGGAAUAUCUACAGCAGGUAGUGCAUGGAGCAAUUCCUAGCGCCUACUUUGAAUCUGAAACUGCUGUCCCAGCUGCUGAGAUGUCAGUUCACAUUCUCAACCAUCUUUAUAAGCAGUUGGAUGAAGUUUGUCCUGUGUGAGGUGGUGAGGUUCGAGAAACAUUCUACCACUCUGUAUGUCUGUUUGUGGUUCUUUGGUUUUAUAUGAUUCUAGUAAAUGAUUUCCUUAGUCAAGGAAGGUUUCUGGAUUAUCUUU